GGGCCGGUGGUGUAGCCUGGAGGCAUGCCGCCCUCGCGAGGCGGAGGACCCGGGUUCAAAUCCCGGCCGGUCCA
rnacentral:tRNA from 1 species